rnacentral:rRNA from 1 species
UGGGGAAUUUUGGACAAUGGGCGCAAGCCUGAUCCAGCCAUGCCGCGUGAGUGAAGAAGGCCUUCGGGUUGUAAAGCUCUUUCGGCGGGGACGAAACGGUUCGUGACAACACCACGGACUAAUGACGGUACCCGCAUAAGAAGCACCGGCUAACUACGUGCCAGCAGCCGCGGUAAUACGUAGGGUGCAGGCGUUAAUCGGAAUUACUGGGCGUAAAGCGUGCGCAGGCGGUUUGUUAAGACAGGUGUGAAAUCCCCGGGCUUAACCUGGGAACUGCGUUUGAAACUGAGGGGCUAGAGUGUGGAAGAGGGGGGUGGAAUUCCAGGUGUAGCAGUGAAAUGCGUAGAGAUCUGGAGGAACACCGAUGGCGAAGGCAGCCCCCUGGGCUAACACUGACGCUCAUGCACGAAAGCGUGGGGAGCAAACGGGAUUAGAUACCCCUGUAGUCCCUGAGCGGGCUGGCAAGGCGCAU